GCGCUUUCUGAAGACAAAAAUUAGGAUGCAAUGAAGGCAGCUUGCAAUUGUGGUUCUUCCCAACAAGUAAGUACGAAAGGCAAACAAAGGUGGAGUGUCGAUAGCACUUAAAAUCGACGAACGGAUUAAAAGCCUGGUUACCUAACCUUGAAUAGAGCUCUGUUCAACGUCGUGUACCUGCAGACUAACCAAAAG